rfam:Felis catus isolate Cinnamon breed Abyssinian chromosome A2, whole genome shotgun sequence.
GCCUGGGUGGCUCAGUUGGUUAAGCGUCUGACUUUGACUCAGGUCAUGAUCUCACAGUUUGUGGGUUCAAGCCCUGCAUUAGGCU